UACGAAGGGGGCUAGCGUUGUUCGGAUUUACUGGGCGUAAAGCGCACGUAGGCGGAUCGUUAAGUCGGGGGUGAAAUCCUGGAGCUCAACUCCAGAACUGCCUUCGAUACUGGCGAUCUUGAGUCCGGAAGAGGUGAGUGGAACUCCUAGUGUAGAGGUGGAAUUCGUUGAUAUUAGGAAGAACACCAGUGGCGAAGGCGGCUCACUGGUCCGGUACUGACGCUGAGGUGCGAAAGCGUGGGGAGCAAACAGG
rnacentral:rRNA from 1 species